rnacentral:rRNA from 1 species
UACGAAGGGUGCAAACGUUGCUCGGAAUCAUUGGGCGUAAAGCGCACGUAGGCGGCUUCAAAAGUCGGAUGUGAAAUCCCUCGGCUCAACCGAGGACGUGCAUCCGAAACUGUGAGGCUUGAGUACUGAAGAGGAUCGCGGAAUUCCCGGUGUAGAGGUGAAAUUCGUAGAUAUCGGGAGGAACACCAGUGGCGAAGGCGACGUGCUGGGUUGCAACUGACGCUGAGAUGCGAAAGUGUGGGGAGCAAACGGG